CUCAGUGUUUUAAUCACUGUUUGCUCAGUGGUGUUCAAAAUUUCUUCAGAGUCUUAAGAAUGCUAAAGGCCUUCCGUAGGUUGACAGUUGUAUUCACAGCCUUCCUAGGUUUCUUUGUGCUCUCAUGACUUUCACAGGGUGUAAGUGCAGAUGAGAACCAUUCCCAUGAUCACCUUGUGCUCAGGUUCUUUUCUGGGGUCUUAAUAGGUCUCAUUGCCUUUUCUAGACCUCCCUGGACUUUAGAGCCAUCCCCAGUGUCUCCUUUUUUUCUUGAUUUUAUUGACUUUCCCCAUAGGUUCAGUGCUAUUUUCAGAAUAUCAGUUGAUGUUCAGUGUUUCUUCCAGAAUCAGAGUGACACUGAAUCUUCCCAGUGGAAACAUUGGGUUCAGGGCCUUUCAACAAUUUUUACUGUAUCCCGGGGAUUUUUUCUGUGUCUCUGUGGAGCUAAGUGCCAUUCCCAGCAUCACAAUGGUGCUCAAUAUAUUCUUGGUGUUUAAUUGAGUGUUAGAGACUUCCCAAGUAUCAUAGUGAGGCCUGGGGCCUACCCUGAUCUUUCAGGGGGUUUUAGGAUGUUUAACAAUAUCUAGUAAUGCUUAGAUUUUUCCCAAAUUUCUUGGAAAAUAUUGGCUGUCACUAGUGUCUCAAUGGGGAUUAGUUCCUUGCCUAGUGUGUCAUUGAAACUCAGAGAUAUUGACAUUAUCAUAGUGUUGCUCAGGGCCUAUCCACUCUCUCGUGGUACGCAGGGCUACUCCAUGUUUCUUAGUGUAAACUCAGGGCUUUGUCUGGAGUCUCAGUCUGACUCAGUGUUCACUUCAAUAGCUUAUCAGACCUCAGAAUAUUUUCUAGGCUUUUGUUGUUGUUGUUGUUGUUUUGAGGUCUCAGGUAUGAUUUGGUCUUAGAUUUUCCCCCAGUUCUUCUGUGAGAGUAAAAGCCCUUAGUAGCUUGUCAGUGGGUUUUUGGGAUUCCACCAACUCUAAAUGUGUUUGUGGACCUUUCCCACUUCCUGAAUUAUGCAGUGCAAGUGACUUCAGUCUUACCUUGGUGGAAAAGGCUGCUCUUGUAGCUUCAGAAAUAGGUAUGAUCCGCUGGGCCUGGACAGUCCACCUUCUACCUUAUUUGGCAGAAGAAUAUUGUAUGGAAAAUCUUUGAAGUUUCUCCAUAUAUAAUAAAGCAAAUUUGGGCUCUCUCUUCCCAGUGUGGGAGCAUGAUUUGUAAGGUCAAAGAGCCGUCCCACCCCUGCUUUUCAAAAUCACUUUCUGUGUAGUGUGGUUUUUCUGCUGCCUUCUUUUCUUGGCUGUAUUUCACAGCUAGACUGCUUUAUGCAAAAAAAAAAAAAAACCCAAAUUCCACCACUUGUGCAGGAUGUUGUGGGGAGCUACUCCAAAUGCAUGCACCUUUAAGUCCUGAUGCACCACAGGGAUCUGAAUGAUUACUGUAGUCUGGCAUGGUAGCACCAUGGCUCAUGACUGGGUCUUAUUGUGGGCUGAAUUGUAGAAGAUAAGUGAAUUAGAAGAAAAAUCUGUAACAUUAUACUUUUAAUAUUUGGGAAUAUUUUGCCUUUAGAAAGAGAAAAAAAUAAUUUUUUACAAUUCUGGAGACUCUAAAUAAAUAUAAAGAAUUAUUAAGAUGACUAAUGGGAUAUGUUGUUAAGUUCAGUCUUCUCCCAUGGGAAAAGUGCCUCUGUGGACUUUUUUGAAUUGUUUUUAUGAAUCUUUAUAUUGUAAAAUAUUAGGUAAAGUUUUUUGUUGUUUUUUUUUUGGGGGGGGGGGGUUAUGAACUAGAAGUCUGUGCUUGGAUAGUGAGAAAAAGGAAAGAAGGAAUUUGUUAUGAGACUUCAUACAAGGAUUCUUUACCUGUAGAGAAGUGAAUUUUAUUUUUCUAUUGUUUUUGUGAAUACUCAGAAAGUUUAUGCUGGACCUCUUUGCUACAUUCUUGAUCUACCAUAUCAGAAUUGCCACUAUUCUAUAAUGGGGUCUGUAACUAGACCUACCACCAGCAGUGCUUUUAACCCUUAAACUACCUGAUCUAGGUGCCAAAUGAUAGUAACACUGAUAGUAGCAAAUCUGAUAGGAACACUGGCAUCUGCUGUUAAAACACACAUUUUAAAGUCCCACAUGGUGCAAGGGAAAAUACAAAAGACAGAAGAACAUCAGCUAAAAGCAAGCACAGGGAGCAGAGAUAAGGCAAGCUGCCUCCCACCCUAGGAUCCUCCCCAGCUGCAGAAAAUACAAACAAAUCAAAUGGAAUGCAAGUGGCUAGGGAAGCUCAGAGAGCCUUUGCCCCAGACAAUGAGCAGCUGGUCCCUGCUGUUUCCAUCACCAAGGUAACAACAGGAAGCCUGGAAGGCCCAACCUGAUUUCCUGGUCCUGCCUCCUGAAUUUUCCCGGCUUCCCAUUGGUCCUUUCACUGUCACUCAGAAAGGACUUCUGGUCCCACUUUCCAGCCACUAAUCUGUACUUCCUGUUUUAUCCCUGCUACCAGGAGCUGCAUUUUUAAAAAUAUCCACCUAAAAAUACUAAUGAAAGAUCUUUUUCAGGCAAAAUUUAACUCCACAGGCUUCUACAUUGCAUCGCUGAGCCUAACUUUUUCAAAGUU
rnacentral:lncRNA from 1 species